GUAAGUAGGAAAACCUGCAAAAUCGGCAGUGUAUCAAAUACUUGUUCUCUCCACUGUAUAUACUGCUUCUUCAGGGGUUGACCAAACAAAUGGCCGACUCGCCCUUCUCUACGUGUUCUGUGGGAGGUGAUGCGGCCUUGAGUUGGAGGGGGCCCGUGCUGGUGCUGGCAGGCCUGUGCAGUGUCUUUACCUGCUGCUUCAUUAUCUUCUUCCACAGGGAGUACAGGAGACUGGACGCUGAGGCACAGGCUGGUGCAAAUAAAGCUAACUCUGACAUCCUGUGACAGCACACCAAACUCUAACCAAAAGGAGGAACAAGCCAGGGGUUAACUGAACUGCUGUUGAGAUCACUACCUCACUGGCAUCGUUUCAGAAGCACGCCAAAUCUCACAGGAGGCAAAGUGUGUUGACUUACAAAUACAUUACUUUAUAUUUGAUGUUCUUUAUAAAGAUUAUGUAGGUUUUUGGAAUGUAA